CACGGGGGGAGCAAGCGUUGUUCGGAAUCACUGGGCGUAAAGGGCGUGUAGGCGGUCAGGUUAGUGAGAUGUGAAACGCCCCGGCUCACCCGGGGACCUGCAUCUCAAACUGCCUGGCUUGAGUAUGGGAGAGGAUGAGGGAAUUCCUGGUGUAGCGGUGAAAUGCGUAGAUAUCAGGAGGAACACCUGCGGCGAAGGCGGGUUGCUGGGCUGACACUGACGCUGAUGCGCGAAAGCCAGGGGAGCGAACGGG
rnacentral:rRNA from 1 species